UACGGAGCCCUGAUGCAAGGUGUCGCUAUACAGCAAGAGGGGCCAUCUUCCAGGUAAAGUACGUCAGUUCGCUCUCGAAGUCUGCCAUGCCAGCUGUCUGCGCAGGGCUGGGACAGCACAUAGAGAGAAAACACAUACACGCAGCCAGACAUCUAACCGCAUUGGUGAACCACGACCGCUAAUCUGUAGGUCAUCUGGAAGACAGCAUCCAUAUGCAACAACAGGAUCUACAUCCGCCACCGGUGUAUCACAGAGCAAUGCAACCAAUGGAACAGGGAAGCUUCACUGUCCUGUGAAGCUUACCAAAGGGUAACAACCAGCAGUACGGGUAACCUAUAACUUUUUUUCUGGCGACUCACUUGAA